rnacentral:rRNA from 1 species
CUCCUAGAUGUUCUGGGCCGCACGCGCGCUACACUGAACAGUUCAACAAGUCUUAACCUUGGCCGAUAGGUCUGGGUAAUCUUUGAACGCUGUUCGUGAUUGGGAUAGACCUUUGCAAUUAUGGGUCUUCAACGAGGAAUUCCUAGUAAACGCAAGUCAUCAGCUUGCAUUGAUUACGUCCCUGCCCUUUGUACACACCGCCCGUCGCACCUACCGAUUGAAUGGUCCGGUGAAGCGUUCGGACCGUGGCCUUUGGACGGUUCGCCGUCUGUUGGCUGCGGGAAGUUCGUUAAACCUUAUCAUUUAGAGGAAGGAGAAGUCGUAACA